CUCAGCCAUCAUAAUUUCUCGGACCACACACACUACUCUCAACCAUAGCCAGCCGGGCUCCAAACAACUACUGCAGUCCACUCGAUAUCUGCCACCCGGAAAAAGGAUCGAUACCUGUCUCUGCAGAGUAUGGAGAAAGCAUGGAGUGAAAGUACAAACUUUUCCAAUGGUCUGGUCUGGUCUGGUCUUUCUCCCCCACUAAAACUGUGUGGAUGGAUUCUGUUAGUAUCUCAAAACGAAAUCUCGCUCCUUCAUACUCAUGGGUCAUGCAUACGGGCACCACCAGAAGAAAAGAGUACGCGACACCACCCGCACUUAUGUAUGUAGACUGCCCGGAGAAUUGCAACGGAACAACCCGACUUGUUGUGUAGUGGAUAUUUGGAUAUAUGUGCCAAUCUUCAUUCACCAACCACCACUACUUAAUGAACAAGUAGAAUAAUAAACGUGGAAAUUGUAGUGCUUCAGAUGGACACACAGGGGAAAAAAAUACACGCAAACAUAAACCUACUAACUGUUUACAAAGUAGAAUUCUCGUUCGUGUUUCACUUUCUACUUGCAGAUUCAUGAAAAAAAAGAGAAAGUAAUACUUGUGAAGCUUGCAUUUGGAUGCAGAGGAGAAAGAGAGAUUGGGUUCCGUUCCUUCGUCGUUGUCGUUGUCGUCCACCAUCACCACCAAUUUUGCUGGGUUGGUUGCCUUUACUUGCAAAUACGUACGAGAGAAAUUCUGGAGAAAGUCUUGAGGGGAAAGUGGAUACUGCUUCUGGUCCAUGCAUGCGACUCAUGCGAGAAUCCCUUAAGAAAAAGGAGACUGUUUUGGGAACACAUUUACAUUCACGAGGUGAUGUCCUGGGUAAGUGGAACAAACACGAAAUCGCGAAAAAGGAACCUGAGUGAGUACGCCUUAACGAACACUAUUGUUGUUUGUAUGUAUGGAUGGUGAUGUGAACAACACGAGGGUAUAAAUAUAUAACAACUUUAUUUCGACUUGUCAGAGUCGUCAGUGUAUACUAACUAAUUACUGGAGAGGGAUAACAGUGGUUAACAGGGCAUAGAAAACUAUAGUAUUAUUCUGUAAAGGCUUCAAUUCUAAGAACUACGAAAUGUUUUGUAAUGAUUUAACUCACAAUAUGUAGUGGGUUAAAAAAACGGAAAAAAAAA